rnacentral:rRNA from 1 species
GAUCCUGGCUCAGAUUGAACGCUGGCGGCAUGCUUUACACAUGCAAGUCGAACGCGAAAGGGGGGCAACCCCUGAGUAGAGUGGCGCACGGGUGAGUAAUACAUCGGAACGUGUCCUGUAAUGGGGGAUAACGCAGCGAAAGCUGUGCUAAUACCGCAUACGUCCUACGGGAGAAAGUGGGGGACCGCAAGGCCUCACGUUAUAGGAGCGGCCGAUGUCGGAUUAGCUAGUUGGUGGGGUAAAGGCUCACCAAGGCAACGAUCCGUAGCUGGUCUGAGAGGAUGAUCAGCCACACUGGGACUGAGACACGGCCCAGACUCCUACGGGAGGCAGCAGUGGGGAAUUUUGGACAAUGGGCGCAAGCCUGAUCCAGCCAUGCCGCGUGAGUGAAGAAGGCCUUCGGGUUGUAAAGCUCUUUCGGCCGGGACGAAAUCGCACGGGUUAACACCGCGUGUGGAUGACGGUACCGGAAUAAGAAGCACCGGCUAACUACGUGCCAG